ACCUGGGAACUGCAUUUGUGACUGCAUGGCUAGAGUCCGUUAGAGGGGGGUGGAAUUCCACGUGUAGCAGUGAAAUGCGUAGAGAUGUGGAGGAACACCGAUGGCGAAGGCAGCCCCCUGGGAUGAGACUGACGCUCAUGUACGAAAGCGUGGGGAGCAAACAGGAUUAGAUACCCUGGUAGUCCACGCCCUAAACGAUGUCGACUAGUUGUCGGGUCUUUACAGACUUGGUAACGCAGCUAACGCGUGAAGUCGACCGCCUGGGGAGUACGGUCGCAAGAUUAAAACUCAAAGGAAUUGACGGGGACCCGCACAAGCGGUGGAUGAUGUGGAUUAAUUCGAUGCAACGCGAAAAACCUUACCUACCCUUGACAUGGCAGGAACGAGGCAGAGAUGUCUCGGUGCCCG
rnacentral:rRNA from 1 species